rnacentral:rRNA from 1 species
UGUGAGUGUGUAAGAGCGCAUGGUGGAUGCCUUGGCAUCAGGAGCCGAUGAAGGACGUGGAAAUCUGCGAUAAGCCUCGGGGAGCCGAUAAACGGGCUGUGAUCCGAGGAUGUCCGAAUGGGGGAACCCCGCCGCAUGCGAGUGCGGUGACCCGCACCUGAAUAUAUAGGGUGUGUGGAGGGAACGCGGGGAAGUGAAACAUCUCAGUACCCGUAGGAAGAGAAAAUAAGAAUGAUUCCGGGAGUAGUGGCGAGCGAAACUGGAUGAGCCUAAACCGUGUGCGUGUCAAGCGUGCUGGUGUUGCGUACAUGGUGUUGUGGGGUGUGUGUGUUCGGUUCAGCAUGACCGAGACGCUGAUGAGUGCUUACGUGUAGUCGAAGCUGGUGGGAAACAGUACCGGAGUGGGUGAGAGUCCCGUAGACGAAACGCGUGGCCCCGGUGUGACACGUGUCCCCGAGUAGCACGGAACUCGUGGAAUUCCGUGUGAAUCUGCCAGGACCACCUGGUAAGGCUAAAUACUUCCUGAUGACCGAUAGCGGAUCAGUAC